rnacentral:lncRNA from 1 species
CUUGUGGUUAUUUUACGUUAGUGGUGUUCGCUGUCCGGUAUCUUGGUAACAGUGGGUUUGGGUUUUCGCUGUCCGGUAUUUUGGUAACAGUGGGUUUUCGCUGUCCGGUAUUUUGGUAACAGUGGGUUUUCGCUGUCCGGUAUCUUGGUAACAGUGGGUUUUCGCUGUCCGGUAUUUUGGUAACAGUGGGUUUUCGCUGUCCGGUAUUUUGGUAACAGUGGGUUUUCGCUGUCCGGUAUCUUGGUAACAGUGGGUUUUCGCUGUCCGGUAUUUUGGUAACAGUGGGUUUUCACUGUCCGGUAUCUUGGUAACCGUGGGUUUUCGCUGUCCGGUAUCUUGGUAACAGUGAGUUUGGGUUUUCGCUUGGGUUUUCGCUGUCCGGUAUCUUGGUAACAGUGGUUUUGGGUUUUCGCUGUCCGGUAUCUUGGUAACAGUGGGUUUGGGUUUUCGCUGUCCGGUAUCUUGGUAACAGUGGUUUUGGGUUUUCGCUGUCCGGUAUCUUGGUAACAGUGGGUUGGGGUUUUCGCUGUCCGGUAUCUUGGUAACAGUGGGUUUGGGUUUUCGCUGUCCGGUAUCUUGGUAACAGUGGGUUGGGGUUUUCGCUGUCCGGUAUCUUGGUAACAGUGGGUUUGGGUUUUCGCUGUCCGGUAUCUUGGUAACAGUGGGUUUGGGUUUUCGCUGUCCGGUAUCUUGGUAACAGUGGUUUUGGGUUUUCGCUGUCCGGUAUCUUGGUAACAGUGGGUUUGGGUUUUCGCUGUCCGGUAUCUUGGUAACAGUGGUUUUGGGUUUUCGCUGUCCGGUAUCUUGGUAACAGUGGUUUUGGGUUUUCGCUGUCCGGUAUCUUGGUAACAGUGGGUUUGGGUUUUCGCUGUCCGGUAUCUUGGUAACAGUGGUUUUGGGUUUUCACUGUCCGGUAUCUUGGUAACAGGGGGUUUUCGCUGUCCGGUAUCUUGGUAACAGUGGUUUUGGGUUUUCGCUGUCCGGUAUCUUGGUAACAGUGGUUUUGGGUUUUCGCUGUCCGGUAUCUUGGUAACAGUGGUUUUGGGUUUUCGCUGUCCGGUAUCUUGAUAACAGUGGGUUGGGGUUUUCGCUGUCCGGUAUCUUGGUAACAGUGGUUUUGGGUUUUCGCUGUCCGGUAUCUUGGUAACAGUGGGUUUGGGUUUUCGCUGUCCGGUAUCUUGGUAACAGUGGUUUUGGGUUUUCGCUGUCCGGUAUCUUGGUAACAGUGGUUUUGGGUUUUCGCUGUCCGGUAUCUUGGUAACAGUGGGUUUGGGUUUUUGCUGUCCGGUAUCUUGGUAACAGUGGGUUUGGGUUUUCGCUGUCCGGUAUCUUGGUAACAGUGGGUUUGGGUUUUCGCUGUCCGGUAUCUUGGUAACAGUGGGUUUGGGUUUUCGCUGUCCGGUAUCUUGGUAACAGUGGGUUUGGGUUUUCGCUGUCCGGUAUCUUGGUAACAGUGGGUUUGGGUUUUCGCUGUCCGGUAUCUUGGUAACAGUGGGUUUGGGUUUUCGCUGUCCGGUAUUUUGGUAACAGUGGGUUUGGGUUUUCGCUGUCCGGUAUCUUGGUAACAGUGGGUUUGGGUUUUCGCUGUCCGGUAUCUUGGUAACAGUGGGUUUGGGUUUUCACUGUCCGGUAUCUUGGUAACAGUGGGUUUGGGUUUUCGCUGUCCGGUAUCUUGGUAACAGUGGGUUUGGGUUUUCGCUGUCCGGUAUCUUGGUAACAGUGGGUUUGCGUUUUGUUGCAC